CUCAAGCAUUCAGCCAAUCUGGUCUACCCGCCCCCCUGUGGACCAAAUGAACACCAACUGGGAGCUGUGGGAGCUGGCCUGGCCCACUCCUCUCCCCCAUGACCAACGACCUGUCUGACCUGUCAGCUUCUCUCACUUUGAGGGAGAGGUGGAUGGUCACACUGUGAUUUCAUGCUGAAGAAAUUGGCUCAUUCGUAACUUAAGCUUCCUCCAGCGAGGGCAAUAAUCAGCUACUAGUUUCUGAUGCAAAAUACCAACACAGGUGCAGCUGCAAGACCAGGCCUAUAGGGGUCAGUGUUUGCUCUCAACAGUUUACUUACAGCACAUACUUUACAACCCUCAGGAGGAC